rnacentral:rRNA from 1 species
UACGUAGGGCGCAAGCGUUGUCCGGAAUUAUUGGGCGUAAAGAGCUCGUAGGCGGCUUGUCGCGUCGGAUGUGAAAGCCCGGGGCUUAACCCCGGGUCUGCAUUCGAUACGGGCAGGCUAGAGUUCGGUAGGGGAGAUCGGAAUUCCUGGUGUAGCGGUGAAAUGCGCAGAUAUCGGGAGGAACACCGGUGGCGAAGGCGGCGAUCUGGGUAGAUACUGACGCUGAGGUGCGAAAGCGUGGGGAGCAAACAGG